rnacentral:rRNA from 1 species
GACGAACGCUGGCGGCGUGCUUAACACAUGCAAGUCGAACGGAAAGGCCCUGCUUUUGUGGGGUGCUCGAGUGGCGAACGGGUGAGUAACACGUUAGUAACCUGCCCUUGACUUUGGGAUAACUUCAGGAAACUGGGGCUAAUACCGGAUAGGAGCUCCUGCUGCAUGGUGGGGGUUGGAAAGUUUCGGCGGUUGGGGAUGGACUCGCGGCUUAUCAGCUUGUUGGUGGGGUAGUGGCAUACCAAGGCUUUGACGGGUAGCCGGCCUGAGAGGGUGACCGGCCACGUAGGGACGGAGGUAAGGCCCAGACUGCUACGGGAGGCAGCAGUGGGGAAUAUUACACAAUAGGCGGAAGCCAGAUGCAGCAACGCCGCGUGGGGGAUGACGGCCUUCGGGUUGUAAACCGCUUUCGCCUGUGACGAAGCGUGAGUGACGGUAAUGGGUAAAGAAGCACCGGCUAACUACGUG